rnacentral:rRNA from 1 species
UACAGAGGUCUCAAGCGUUGUUCGGAUUCAUUGGGCGUAAAGGGUGCGUAGGUGGCGCUGUAAGUCGGGUGUGAAAUUUCGGAGCUUAACUCCGAAACUGCAUUCGAUACUGCGGUGCUUGAGGACUGGAGAGGAGACUGGAAUUCAUGGUGUAGCAGUGAAAUGCGUAGAUAUGUGGAGGAAUACCGAUGGCGAAGGCAGCCUCCUGGGCCAACACUGACGCUCAUGCACGAAAGCGUGGGGAGCAAACAGG